rnacentral:lncRNA from 1 species
CCCUAUGUCAAGCUUUCUGCAACAAAAGGUGCAUGUUUUGACAAAAACCCUUGUAUGGCUUUCCAGAUUUAAGGAAUAAGUGAAGGGUCCACAUAUUGCUUUUUUUUUAUAUAAUUUAUUCCAUAAAUCAUAAAGAGCUUUCUUUCAUGACAAAUUUUGAUUUGAUUUAAAUAGUCUUUUAGAAAACCACAUAAAAUUGACUAGUAAGCCAUGAACAUGAGGUCAAAGUCUGAUGAACCCUGUAAGACAGACAUGUACACCUUACAAUUAAUCCAUACACCAAUUAUAGAGGCUUAUAGUAUCUGAGAAAGACAAAAACCUCAAAAAUAUUUCCACUGAACCAUAGAGGUCAAGGCCAGAUGAAUGUUUUAGGGUGGCAUUGAGCUUUACUUUUCUAUAAUUUCUAGAUAUAUAAAGUGUCUUUACUACUCUAUUGUUAAAAGAUGGGAGAUUUUUCAUGUUUGAUGCAUAUUGUUUUAUUUUUUUUAAUUUCAGAAAUUGAACCUUUUUUUUGCAUAUUCUUUUAACAAUAACUGCUAUAAAUAGUUGUCCGACAAUCUUGAUGAUCCUGAAUGUAGCAGUACUAUGCAGGUUGUUCAUUGUGUGUGUUAGUUUUACAUCAUAUGAUCUUUAUUGACAACUAGAGGCUCUAAAGAGCCUGUGUCACUCACCUUGGUCUAUGUGAAUAUUAAACAAAGAAAGCAGAUGGAUUCAUGACAAAAUUGUGUUUUGGUGAUGGUGAUGUGUUCGUACAUCUUACUUAACUGAACAUUCUUGCUGCUUACAAUUAUCUCUAUCUAUAAUGAACUUGGCCCAGUUAUUUCAGUGGAAAAUGUUAGUAAAAAUUUACAAAUUUUAUGAAAAUUGUUUAAAAUUGACUAUAAAAAAAAAGUAAAAUCACAAAAAUACUGAACUUAGAGGAAGAUCAAUUGGGAAAGUCCAUAAUCACAUGGCAAAAUCAAAUGUAUUCCGUGGAACACACA